rnacentral:rRNA from 1 species
AUUGAACGCUGGCGGCAGGCUUAACACAUGCAAGUCGAACGAGUGGCGGACGGGUGAGUAAUGCUUGGGAAUCUAGCUUAUGGAGGGGGAUAACGACGGGAAACUGUAGCUAAUACCGCGUACCAUAGUAUGAGCCCAAGUGGGAUUAGGUAGUUGGUGAGUUAACGGCUCACCAAGCCGACGAUCUCUAGCUGGUCUGAGAGGAUGACCCGCCACACUGGGACUGAGACACGGCCCAGACUCCUGCGGGAGGAAGCAGUGGGGAAUAUGGCGCAAUGGGGGCAACCUGACGCAGCCAUGCCGCGUGAAUGAAGAAGGCCUUCGGGUUGUAAAGUUCUUUCGGUAGCGAGGCGUUAACUACCGAAGAAGCACCGGCUAACUCCGUGCCAGCAGCCGCGGUAAUAC